UACAGAGGGUGCGAGCGUUGUUCGGAAUUAUUGGGCGUAAAGAGCUUGUAGGCGGUUUGUCGCGUCUGCUGUGAAAUCUCAAGGCUCAACCCCGGACUUGCAGUGGGUACGGGCAGACUAGAGUGUGGUAGGGGAGACUGGAAUUCCUGGUGUAGCGGUGAAAUGCGCAGAUAUCAGGAGGAACACCGAUGGCGAAGGCAGGUCUCUGGGCCACCACUGACGCUGAGAAGCGAAAGCAUGGGGAGCGAACAGG
rnacentral:rRNA from 1 species